AUUCGACACAGUCGAGGUUAUUCGACACAGUCGAGGUUCGUUUGGGCUCGGCCCAUUCUCUCUCGUGCAAUGCAUAAAGACUCUUGUGAUUCGACACAGUCGAGGGGAUUCGACACAGUCGAGGUUAUUCGACACAGUCGAGGUGAUUCACACAGUCGAGGUGAUUCGACACAGUCGAGUCGAGGUGAUUCGACACUAAAAACCGUCUACACAGGUUGAGUACUUCCUAUGUCGCCGCAUACGUUAAUGUCCUCGCGAAACAUUAACGAUCAACCUGUUCAUAGACGCUUUACAUACCCAUUUACAACACUAAAACUUUCAUAUAUUCAUAAGAUUCAUUUGAUGGAAACUCACAAAUACAUGAAUUACAAAUUGUGGUAACGUUUUUCAAGUUAUACCUAAGUAAGAGGAAGCGCUGAUCCUGCUUACAAAG
rnacentral:lncRNA from 1 species